UUAGGAAUAUUCGUCAAUGGGGGAAACCCUGAACGAGCAAUGCCGCGUGAACGAUGAAGGCCCUAUGGGUUGUAAAGUUCUGUUGUUUGGAAAGAAUAGCAAGAAUAGGAAAUGAUUCUUGUCUGACGGUACCAUUCAAGAAAGCCACGGCUAACUACGUGCCAGCAGCCGCGGUAAUACGUAGGUGGCGAGCGUUAUCCGGAUUUAUUGGGCGUAAAGCGUGCGCAGGCGGUUUGUUAAGUAUAGAAUUAAAGCCCGAAGCUUAACUUCGGUUCGUUCUAUAAACUGGCAGACUCGAGUGUGGUAGAGGCAAACGGAAUUUCUAGUGUAGCGGUAAAAUGCGUAGAUAUUAGAAGGAACACCAGUGGCGAAGGCGGUUUGCUGGGCCAUUACUGACGCUCAUGCACGAAAGCGUGGGGAGCAAAUAGG
rnacentral:rRNA from 1 species